rnacentral:rRNA from 1 species
UACGUAGGGUGCGAGCGUUGCCCGGAUUUACUGGGCGUAAAGGGCGCGUAGGCGGUCAGCACAAGUCAGUUGUGAAAUCUCCGGGCUUAACUCGGAAAGGUCAACUGAUACUGUGCGACUAGAGUGCGGAAGGGGCAACUGGAAUUCUCGGUGUAGCGGUGAAAUGCGUAGAUAUCGAGAGGAACACCUGCGGCGAAGGCAAUCCCCUGGGCCUGCACUCGACGCUCAUGCACGAAAAGCGUGGGGAGCAAACAGG